rnacentral:tRNA from 1 species
AAGAAGUUAGUCCAACUAAGACUACCGAUUUCGACUCGGUCAAUUGUGAUUAUAACCACAACUUCUUA